rnacentral:rRNA from 1 species
GACGAACGCUGGCGGCGUGCUUAACACAUGCAAGUCGAACGGAAAGGCCCUGCUUUUGUGGGGUGCUCGAGUGGCGCACGGGUGAGUAACACGUGAGUAACCUGCCCUUGACUUUGGGAUAACUUCAGGAAACUGGGGCUAAUACCGGAUAGGAGCUCCUGCUGCAUGGUGGGGGUUGGAAAGUUUCGGCGGUUGGGGAUGGACUCGCGGCUUAUCAGCUUGUUGGUGGGGUAGUGGCUUACCAAGGCUUUGACGGGUAGCCGGCCUGAGAGGGUGACCGGCCACAUUGGGACUGAGAUACGGCCCAGACUCCUACGGGAGGCAGCAGGGGGGAAUAUUGCACAAUGGGCGGAAGCCUGAUGCAGCAACGCCGCGUGCGUGAUGACGGCCUUCGGGUUGUAAACCGCUGUCGCCUGUGACGAAGCGUGAGUGACGGUAAUGGGUAAAGAAGCACCGGCUAACUACGUG